CCUACGGGAGGCAGCAGUGAGGAAUCUUCCGCAAUGGGCGAAAGCCUGACGGAGCGACACCGCGUGUGGGAUGAAGUCUUUCGGGAUGUAAACCACUGUUGGAGGGGAAGACAACUGACGGUACCCUCCGAGAAAGCCCCGGCUAACUACGUGCCAGCAGCCGCGGUAAU
rnacentral:rRNA from 1 species